rnacentral:rRNA from 1 species
UACGUAGGCAGCGAGCGUUGUUCGGAGUUACUGGGCGUAAAGCGUGCGCAGGCGGUGAUGUAAGACCGAUGUGAAAUCCCCGGGCUUAACCUGGGAACUGCAUUGGUGACUGCAUUGCUGGAGUAUGGCAGAGGGGGGUGGAAUUCCACGUGUAGCAGUGAAAUGCGUAGAGAUGUGGAGGAACACCGAUGGCGAAGGCAGCCCCCCUGGGCUAACACUGACGCUCAUGCACGAAAGCGUGGGGAGCAA